GAAAAACCGCUGUAGAUUUGGUAAUUGAUUCUGUAUCAGUUAGUACCUCUUAUCAAAAAGA
rnacentral:tRNA from 1 species